UACGUAGGGUGCGAGCGUUAACCGGAAUUACUGGGCGUAAAGCGUGCGCAGGCGGUUUGUUAAGACAGAUGUGAAAUCCCCGGGCUUAACCUGGGAACUGCGUUUGUUACUGGCAAGCUAGAGUGUGUCAGAGGGAGGUAGAAUUCCACGUGUAGCAGUGAAAUGCGUAGAUAUGUGGAGGAAUACCGAUGGCGAAGGCAGCCUCCUGGGAUAACACUGACGCUCAUGCACGAAAGCGUGGGGAGCAAACAGG
rnacentral:rRNA from 1 species